rnacentral:rRNA from 1 species
UGCCUCAGUAACUGCGAGUGAAGCGGCAUGAGCUCAAUUUUAAAUCUGACACCUUCGGUGCCCGAAUUGUAAUUUGGAGAGAUACCUUCGGGAUGGGCGCCGUCCUAAGUUCCUUGGAACAGGACAUCACAGAGGGUAAGAAUCCCGUAUGUGGAUGGCUGCUCCAUCCUAUGUGAAGUGUCUUCAACGAGUCGAGUUGUUUGGGAAUGCAGCUCAAAAUGGGUGGUAAAUGUCAUCUAAAGCUAAAUAACGGCGAGAGACCGAUAGCGCACAAGUAGAGUGAUCGAAAGAUGAAAAGCACUUUGAAAAGAGAGUUAAAAAGUACGUGAAAUUGUUGAAAGGGAAGCGCUUGGGACCAGACAUGGGUUUCGGUAAUCAUCAGGCCUUCGGGACUGUGUACUUGCCGUCAGCCUGGACAGCAUCGGUUCGAGUGGUUGGAUAAAGGUCUACGGAAUGUAGCUUCCUUCGGGAGGUGUUAUAGCCUUAGGCGCAAUGCAGUCGAUUCGGACCGAGGACCGCGCAAUUGCUAGGAUGCUGUCGAAAUGGUUCUCAGCGACCCGUCUUGAAACACGGACCAAGGAGUCUAACAUCUAUGCGAGUGUUUGGGUGGAAAACCCUUGCGCGCAAUGAAAGUGAAUGGAGGUGGGAACUCUUUCCAAGGAGUGCACCAUCGACCGAUCCUGAUGUCUUCGGAUGGAUUUGAGUAGGAGCAUAGCUGUUGGGACCCGAAAGAUGGUGAACUAUGCCUGAAUAGGGUGAAGCCAGAGGAAACUCUGGUGGAGGCUCGCAGCGGUUCUGACGUGCAAAUCGAUCGUCAAAUUUGGGUAUAGGGGCGAAAGACUAAUCGAACCAUCUAG